rnacentral:tRNA from 1 species
UCCCUGGUGGUCCAGUGGCUAGGACUCUGUGCUCCCAAUAUAGGGGGUCUGGGUUCAAUCCCUGGUCAGGGAA